rnacentral:misc_RNA from 1 species
GAUGAAGAACGUAGCGAAAUGCGAUAAGUAAUGUGAAUUGCAGAAUUCAGUGAAUCAUCGAAUCUUUGAACGCACAUUGCGCCCGCCAGUAUUCUGGCGGGCAUGCCUGUUCGAGCGUCAUUUCAACCAUCAAGCCCCAGGCUUGUGUUGGGGACCUGCGGCUGCCGCAGGCCCUGAAAACCAGUGGCGGGCUCGCUGUCACACCGGGCGUAGUAGAUUUUAUCUCGCUCUGGGCGUGCUGCGGGUUCCGGCCGUUAAAAAACCCUUUUAACCCAAGGUUGACCUCGGAUCAGGCAGGAAUACCCGCUGAACUUAAGCAUAUCAAUAAGCGGAGGA